UCCUACGGGGGGCAGCAGUGAGGAAUAUUGGUCAAUGGGCGAGAGCCUGAACCAGCCAAGUCGCGUGAGGGAGUACUGCCCUAGGGGUUGUAAACCUCUUUUGUCGGGGAGCAAAAGCCGGACGUGUCCGUCUGUGAGAGUACCCGAAGAAAAAGCAUCGGCUAACUCCGUGCCAGCAGCCGCGGUAAUACGGAGGAUGCGAGCGUUAUCCGGAUUUAUUGGGUUUAAAGGGUGCGCAGGCGGAUUUUUAAGUCAGCGGUCAAAUCGUGGGGCUCAACCUCGUCCAGCCGUUGAAACUGGGGAUC
rnacentral:rRNA from 1 species